rnacentral:rRNA from 1 species
AAUGAACGCUGGCGGCAGGCAUAACACAUGCAAGUCGAACGGCACCUUCGGGUGUAGUGGCGGACGGGUGAGUAACGCGUGGGAACGUACCUUUUGCUUCGGAAUAGCCUCGGGAAACUGGGAGUAAUACCGAAUGUGCUCUUCGGAGGAAAGAUUUAUCGGCAAAAGAUCGGCCCGCGUUGGAUUAGCUAGUUGGUGAGGUAAUGGCUCACCAAGGCGACGAUCCAUAGCUGGUUUGAGAGGAUGACCAGCCACACUGGGACUGAGACACGGCCCAGACUCCGACGGGUGGCAGCAGUGGGGAAUCUUAGACAAUGGGCGCAAGCCUGAUCUAGCCAUGCCGCGUGAGCGAUGAAGGCCUUAGGGUUGUAAAGCUCUUUCGCUGGGGAAGAUAAUGACUGUACCCAGUAAAGAAGCCCCGGCUAACUCCGUGCCAGCCGCCGCAGUAA